rnacentral:rRNA from 1 species
AGCUGGAAUCGCUAGUAAUCGCGGAUCAGAAUGCCGCGGUGAAUACGUUCCCGGGUCUUGUACACACCGCCCGUCACACCAUGGGAGUCGAUAACGCCCGAAGUCAGUGACCCAACCGUUAAGGAGGGAGCUGCCGAAGGCGGGAUUGAUAACUGGGGUGAAGUCGUAACAAGGUAAC